AUUGAACGCUGGCGGCAUGCCUUACACAUGCAAGUCGAACGGUAACAGGUCUUCGGAUGCUGACGAGUGGCGAACGGGAGAGUAAUACAUCGGAACGUGCCUAGUAGUGGGGGAUAACUACUCGAAAGAGUGGCUAAUACCGCAUGAGAUCUACGGAUGAAAGCAGGGGAUCUCAAGACCUUGUGCUACUAGAGCGGCCGAUGGCAGAUUAGGUAGUUGGUGGGAUAAAAGCUUACCAAGCCGACGAUCUGUAGCUGGUCUGAGAGGACGAUCAGCCGCACUGGGACUGGGACACGGCCCAGACUCCUACGGGAGGCAGCAGUGGGGAAUUUUGGACAAUGGGCGCAAGCCUGAUCCAGCAAUGCCGCGUGCAGGAUGAAGGCCUUCGGGCUGUAAACUGCUUUUGUACGGAACGAAAAGCCCUGGGUUAAUACCCUGGGGUCAUGACGGUACCGUAAGAAUAAGCACCGGCUAACUACGUGCCAGCAGCCGCCGUAAUAC
rnacentral:rRNA from 1 species